CCAGGAUCACUGGUUCCCUUCACAUGACUAUCCAAACUGCUGUCUUGAUUGAAACUUUAACUGCCUUAGGUGCUGAGGUUCGUUGGUGUUCUUGCAAUAUUUUCUCCACUCAAGAUCAUGCCGCUGCCGCUAUUGCCCGUGAUUCGGCUGCUGUUUUUGCCUGGAAAGGGGAGACCCUCCAGGAGUACUGGUGGUGUACUGAGAGAGCUCUUGACUGGGGCCCAGAUGGUGGUCCUGAUUUGAUUGUUGAUGAUGGCGGUGAUGCCACUCUCUUGAUUCAUGAAGGUGUGAAGGCUGAGGAGAUUUAUGAGAAGACUGGUGCUUCCCCAGAUCCAGCUUCGACUGAUAAUGCUGAGUUCCAGAUUGUUUUGACAAUUAUUAGAGAUGGAUUGAAGUCUGAUCCUAAGAAGUAUCACAAGAUGAAGGAAAGAUUGGUUGGUGUUUCGGAAGAAACUACAACUGGUGUCAAGAGAUUGUAUCAAAUGCAGAUUAAUGGGACUUUACUUUUCCCUGCUAUUAAUGUCAACGACUCUGUCACCAAGAGCAAGGUAUUGUUUUUUAAGAUCUGGGUUUUUGCUGUAUAGAUCUGUUAUGUGUUUAGUUAUUGAUUUAUGUUUUAGAUCUGAUAUGAUUAAUGGGUUUUUGUUUUAGAUCUGAUAUUAACUGGAUUUGUUUCAAUGUUGUCGAUAUUUCCACUUAGUUUCAACAUAAAUACUGUGAACUUGUUUGAUAGAUUUGCAAUGAUGUGUGGUUAUUGAGAUAUCUUAGAAUCAAAGAGAUAUUACUGUCAAUUAUUGUGUGAGUUUUUUGUAAGAUAUUUUUUUUGAGGUUAUGAUGAAAAGAUUCUUUCAAGUUCUAAGCUUUUGAUUUGUUUAAGAAGCAAAAAUGUUUCGACUUUAAGAUCAGAAUCAUGCUACUUGUUUUAGAAUAUUCUAUGAGACUUCGGAACUUUCGCACGAUUCUUAUUUUAUGAGAACUUGCAAGUUUUUUGUUACUCUAUUAUUUAAUCCAAUUGGUGAUUAGUACUCCACGAUUUUUAUCAAGGUUCAUUGCAUGAUUCAUGUGUGGUGCUAGAUGUUUUGAAUAUGGUUUUCAACUCUCAAUCAUCAGUUGUUGAUUGAUGACUUCUGAAAUCUUGUAUGUGAUUCUGCACGAUUCUUUUUCUCUGUUGUAGUCUAACAAUUGCUCUUAAUCUUUGUGUGUACAGUUCGACAACUUGUAUGGAUGCCGCCACUCUCUCCCUGAUGGUUUGAUGAGAGCUACUGAUGUCAUGAUUGCCGGCAAGGUUGCUGUUGUCUGUGGUUAUGGUGAUGUUGGCAAGGGCUGUGCUGCUGCCAUGAAGCAAGCUGGAGCUCGUGUGAUUGUGACCGAGAUUGAUCCCAUUUGCGCGCUUCAGGCUCUCAUGGAGGGUCUACAGGUCCUGACUCUUGAAGAUGUUAUCUCCGAGGCUGAUAUCUUUGUCACCACCACUGGUAACAAGGACAUUAUCAUGGUUGAUCACAUGAGGAAGAUGAAGAACAAUGCCAUUGUCUGCAACAUCGGUCACUUCGAUAAUGAAAUCGACAUGCUUGGACUUGAGACCUUCCCUGGCGUGAAGCGCAUCACCAUCAAGCCCCAAACUGACAGGUGGGUCUUCCCUGACACCAACUCCGGCAUCAUUGUCCUGGCUGAGGGACGUCUCAUGAACCUGGGAUGUGCCACCGGUCACCCCAGCUUUGUGAUGUCCUGCUCAUUCACCAACCAGGUGAUCGCCCAGCUUGAGCUGUGGAACGAGAGGAAAACCGGCAAGUACGAGAGGAAGGUCUAUGUCUUGCCCAAGCACCUUGAUGAGAAGGUUGCUUCCCUUCACCUUGGCAAGCUAGGAGCUAGGCUUACCAAGCUCUCCAAGGACCAGGCUGACUACAUCAACGUGCCAAUCGAGGGUCCAUACAAGCCUGCUCAGUACAGGUACUGAGAGAUGGAACUUGAGGCAAAACGUGAUUGGAAACGGCGCUAUUGUUUCUUUUGUAUUUUCAUGAUGAUUUGUCCUAUAUUAUUAGGCUUCAAUUUUUUUCCUAGGAUUUGUGUUUUGGUGGUGGGGAAGACAUGGGAGGAAAAUAUAUGAAACGGUCUAUCUUGAAGACCACAUGGGAUUAUCUAAUAAGGUUUUGGAUUGGGGUUGUGUGGGAUAAUAUUGUAGCUGUUGCCAUUUUUCAUUUGAGUUUUCUUGCUGCAGCUUAUCUUCUUUUUAAU
rnacentral:lncRNA from 1 species